AAAAACAUGGCUAUUAUGAGGUUGUUGAUAGUCUAGCCUGCUCACUGAUAGAAUUUAUUAAAUAGCCGCGGUAUCUUGACCGUGCAAAGGUAGCAUAAUCAUUAGUUUUUUAAUUGGAAACUUGUAUGAAUGGUUGGACAAAGAAGAAGCUGUCUCUUGUUAUUAAUAUUGAACUUAACUUUUAAGUGAAAAGGCUUAAAUAUUCUAGAGGGACGAUAAGACCCUAUAAAGCUUUAUAAACUUAUAAAUUUUAUAUGUUUUUUUAUAAAAAUAAUCUUUCGAAGGUUUAUUUAGUUGGGGCGACAAUGAUAUAAAUAAUAUAACUGUCAUAAAAUAUAACAAAUAUAUUUGUUUAAUAAGGAAUAAUUGAUCCUUUAUAAGGAUUUUAAGAUCAAGUUACUUUAGGGAUAACAGCGUUAUUUUUCUUGAGAGUUCUUAUCAAAGGAAAAGUUUGCGACCUCGAUGUUGAAUUAAAAUGUCUUUAUAGUGCAGCAGCUAUAAAAGAAGGUCUGUUCGACCUUUAAUAUUUUACAUGAUUUGAGUUCAGACCGGCGGGAGCCAGGUCGGUUUCUAUCU
rnacentral:rRNA from 1 species